rnacentral:rRNA from 1 species
GUAGGGAAUAUUGGGCAAUGGAGGCAACUCUGACCCAGCCAUGCCGCGUGCAGGAAGACGGUCCUCUGGAUUGUAAACUGCUUUUGAAUGGGAAGAACAUACGGUUUGCGAACCGUACUGACGGUACUAUUAGAAUAAGCACCGGCUAACUCCGUGCCAGCAGCCGCGGUAAUACGGAGGGUGCAAGCGUUAUCCGGAUUUAUUGGGUUUAAAGGGUGCGUAGGCGGCCUUAUAAGUCGGUGGUUAAAGGUAGCAGCUUAACUGUUUUACAUGCCAUCGAUACUGUAGGGCUUGAGUGAUUUGGAGGUAGCUAGAAUUCCCUGUGUAGCGGUGAAAUGCAUAGAUACGGGGAGGAAUACCGAUUGCGAAGGCAUGUUACUACGAAUUAACUGACGCUGAGGCACGAAAGCGUGGGGAUCAAACAGGAUUAGAUACCCCAGUAGUCC